AUUGAACGCUGGCGGCAUGCUUUACACAUGCAAGUCGAACGGUAACAGGCCGCAAGGUGCUGACGAGUGGCGAACGGGUGCGUAAUGCAUCGGAACGUGCCCAGUCGUGGGGGAUAACUACUCGAAAGAGUAGCUAAUACCGCAUACGAUCUAUGGAUGAAAGCGGGGGACCGUAAGGCCUCGCGCGAUUGGAGCGGCCGAUGUCAGAUUAGGUAGUUGGUGGGGUAAAGGCUCACCAAGCCAACGAUCUGUAGCUGGUCUGAGAGGACGACCAGCCACACUGGGACUGGGACACGGCCCAGACUCCUACGGGAGGCAGCAGUGGGGAAUUUUGGACAAUGGGCGCAAGCCUGAUCCAGCAAUGCCGCGUGCAGGAAGAAGGCCUUCGGGUUGUAAACUGCUUUUGUACGGAACGAAACGGCUCUGGUUAAUACCCGGGGCUAAUGACGGUACCGUAAGAAUAAGCACCGGCUAACUACGUG
rnacentral:rRNA from 1 species